rnacentral:rRNA from 1 species
GACAGAGGGUGCAAACGUUGUUCGGAAUUACUGGGCGUAAAGCGCAUGUAGGCGGCCAAGCAGGUCGGAUGUGAAAUCCCUCGGCUCAACCAAGGAAGUGCAUUCGAAACCGCAUGGCUGGAGUCCCGGAGAGGGUAGUGGAAUUCUCGGUGUAGAGGUGAAAUUCGUAGAUAUCGAGAGGAACACCGGCGGCGAAAGCGGCUACCUGGACGAGGACUGACGCUGA